UCGUUUACCAUGAAACUAUAAUCCCUUCGUCAAUAUAAUCUGAUCAACUACGAGAUAUGGAAGUGUGUCAAUCUCGAUUAUCAAUCAUAUCUUUCAUUAUACUAUUAAGUCAAUAUGAGUCGAAAACUCCUUUUCGACUUAUAUGUAUACCUUGGCCAAGGAUUUCGUUAUUGACUUAAUUGAACGAAAUGUAGAUUACAAUCUCUUACUAUCUAAGAGUGACGAAUCCUCUAUUGAUCAU
rnacentral:lncRNA from 1 species